AAAAAACAAAUAGAGACAUAGAAGGUAACUUUCAUGGACAGUGAAUACUGUUUACACAGAUGUAGCAUAAAUAGCCUUUACUGAUUUUCAAAAAUACAGUCCACCUGUAGGCAAAGCAAGAAUUGCUUAACUAUAGUUACAAAACAGGUUGUAAAUGUGAAGCAUGAUAGUGUAAUAAAGGAACCAAAGAUGAAGACAAGGGUAAGGGAUACAAAAUUCUUAUCUGGCAAAGUGAAGAGGGAUUGUUUAUAUUGAAGCAAGAACUGUGAGUUACAUUAUUUAAAGUUGCAAAUGUAAUAAGUGCAAUGCUGACUAGUGAUAUAAUUUAUUAGCUGUUAUGAGUAGGGAAAAUUUGUGGUGGUUUAAUGUAGUUAAAUCUUCAUCUAUCUUGGCAGGAAGUGAGUAUGCAACAUCUAAGAUUGAGACAUCAAAAAUUCACAGCAUGAGCAGAUUGUUUACAGAUGGGGUAACUAAAAACAAUGAGGUAAAUGUGGUUGCCUCUGGGAAAAACACUGGAGGCAUUGGAAAGGGUUGGGUUGGGGGCCUGUUGUUUUUUGCAUUCGCCCCCUUGAGUUCAUUUGUUCUUUCAUCUAACAGACACUUACUGUUUGCCAAACACAUGUAAAUGAAACGACUUUACUGAAGAUUUGAGGACGUGAGAUAUUUUCUGUCACCACAGUGCCAGAUUUAAAAUUGAAUAUUAGAGAAACUUGUUCUUAAAACUUUUUGCUAGGCACUUUAUGCCAACCAUGUUGCUACCCUCUUCUCUCCGUUCCUCUUACAUUCUCAUUCUCUAACAACUUUUUCAGUCGUCUCACACCCAUACACAGUCUUGUUUGUUGGUGUUAUGGGGAACUCACAAAUGGAGCCAUAAAGAAGAAAUAUGACCUCUCCUGUGUUUCACCUCCAGUGGGGUUGACGGGAGGUCCCAGGAUUUCUGUGAAGGGGAUUUGUAGUUUUGGAGUUCCAGAUGGUGACAACUCGAGCAGCAAGCCUGAUGAGCAUAUUGAGCAGACUACUAAGAACAGGAAUGAAAAACAAACAAACGAACAACAACAACAAAAAAAACACCCUUCUCUUUCCCACCUGUACCAGAAUAGUGGCUCUGAACCAUGGCUGCAUAUUAGAAUCACCCAAGGAGCUUUUAAAAACAUCGAUGCCCAGGCACCACCUCUUCCCCUUUUGAUGCUCUUCCUUCCAACUCCCACCACUACCAAAUAAAUUGAAAAUGUAGUGAAGGGACCUCAGUCCCAUGAUUCAAAUCAUUAAUAUAAAAGUCACCUGCAAUUUCUGCACAAUUGAUUGAAUUGGGCAAAACAGAUUAGAGCAUUGAACCACUUUGUCGACGAUUUUCAACCUGAUAUUCUAAGGAAGAGAACUUGCUCAGAAUUUUGCAUUGGCUGUUCCUUCUGCCUGGGACACUUUCCCUUCCUAUAUGCAUAGCUUACUACCUCACCUCCUCAAUGAGACUGACCUGCCCGCCAGGCGCCAAAAUGGCACUCCCAAGCUCACUCUGCUCUACUUUCUUUUUAUCGUAGCACUUAUCAGUGUCUAACGUAGAAUUUGCCCACUUCUUGUACCUAUUGUGUAAUGUUUGUUUCCACCCACUAGAAUGUAAACAAAUAUGAUCAGGUAUUUUUCAUUUCAUUCACUGAUGAAACUUAAGUAUCUAGAACAAUACCGAACAUGACUGAGCACUCAAUAAAUACUCGUUGAAUUUCAGUGGCCUCUCAAAUAGCAUUUAACUCAUUAUCUCCAUAAAAGAUAAGUGUUAACCCAUGUUAUGUAAUAUGUUUGGAAUGUGCUAGCAUUACACGCUUGCAUAAAGUUUUUUGAAGAAUUAUAUACCUCACCAGGCAAAUAUUCUGUACCCCUAUGAAGCCUGCUGGAUAUCUGGGCUGUCAGUCAGAAGAUCUGGGCUAUAAUCUCAUGUUGUCUGUUAAAUAAAUAUGUAAUAUUGAUCAAAGUACUUCAUUCCUCUCAGUGUCACUUAGGUUAUUUAUAAAAGAAAGAGGUUGAUAUAAAUGAAUUCAAUUUUUUUCUCUUCUAUUAUAUAGUACUUUGUGACCACAUGUGAGGUUGAAAUACAAUAAAAUGUUAAUUUUGUGUUUUUUAUUUUCUUCUGAUAGC
rnacentral:lncRNA from 10 species